GGACGAACGCUGGCGGCGUGCUUAACACAUGCAAGUCGAACGGUGAAGCGCCUUCCUUUUUGGUGGGUGUGGAUGAGUGGCGAACGGGUGAGUAACACGUGAGUAACCUGCCCCCUUCUUCUGGAUAACCGCAUGAAAGUGUGGCUAAUACGGGAUAUUCUGGGUCUGUCGCAUGAUGGGUCUGGGAAAGAUAUUGUUUCGGUGGGGGAUGGGCUCGCGGCCUAUCAGCUUGUUGGUGGGGUGAUGGCCUACCAAGGCGGUGACGGGUAGCCGGCCUGAGAGGGUGGACGGUCACACUGGGACUGAGACACGGCCCAGACUCAUACGGGAGGCAGCAGUGGGGAAUAUUGCACAAUGGGCGCAAGCCUGAUGCAGCGACGCCGCGUGAGGGAUGGAGGCCUUCGGGUUGUGAACCUCUUUCGCCAGUGAAGCAGGCCUGCCUCGUUUGUGGGUGGGUUGACGGUAGCUGGAUAAGAAGCGCCGGCUAACUACGUG
rnacentral:rRNA from 1 species